UAUAUAAAUAGGGAUGGGUUUUGC
rnacentral:piRNA from 1 species